CCUACGGGGGGCAGCAGUGGGGAAUAUUGGACAAUGGGGGGAACCCUGAUCCAGCGACGCCGCGUGAGUGAAGAAGUAUUUCGGGAUGUAAAGCUCUAUCAGCAGGGAAGAAAGGAAUGACGGUACCUGACUAAGAAGCCCCGGCUAACUACGUGCCAGCAGCCGCGGUAAUACGUAGGGGGCAAGCGUUAUCCGGAUUUACUGGGUGUAAAGGGAGCGUAGACGGUUACGCAAGUCUGGAGUGAAAGGCGGGGGCCCAACCCCCGGACUGCUUUGGAAACUGUAUAACUGGAGUGCAGGAGAGGUAAGUGGAAUUCCUGGUGUAGCGGUGAAAUGCGUAGAGAUUAGGAGGAACACCAGUGGCGAAGGCGGCUUACUGGACUGUAACUGACGUUGAGGCUCGAAAGCGUGGGGAGCAAACAGGAUUAGAUACCCCUGUAGUC
rnacentral:rRNA from 1 species